GGCUGAAGCUACAGAGAAAGACAGACAGGACGUCUGGGCGUCCUUCUAUUCAAGCUCUGUGGGUGUUAGCAUUGCAGUCAAGGAUCGACCUGGGUCCCAAAUGGAAUUAGAGGGAUACCCCAGUUAGUUUUUUGCUGUUGUUGGAAACGGAUGCAGGAUUCUAUAGUUCUUUCUCACCUUUAAACCAAGUGCCCUGAGACUCUGUAUGGGGAUGGCAUUCGCUGCAAAACCUGGAAUAAUUGGGGCCUCUUAAUCCUUAUAUUUUGGUCAGAACUGCCGUGCUAAUUCCUUUGGAUUUCCACUUUACAACGCGCAUCCCCAUGGCAACAGCAGCUCCGGGGCAUCACUGCAUGAAACUCUUCUGGUCACCUCCAAGCCUCAAUGAAGAGUGAACACUUUCUUCUUUCUCAGCCCAUCCUCCUGGGGGAAGAGGUGCCUGAAUUCAGCUGAUGGGGUUGGACAAGGUUUGCAGUGGAGAAAUGAAGCUAAUGGGAUCUUGUGUGGAGCCCGAUGUCUUUGCUGCUUCUACACCUGAAUACAUCACAGGAACUGAUGGAUUAUACGCUUGCACUUUUCCAGUCCCUUAAGGGUUAGAGGGGGUUUUUCCAUUCAGGGACUGCUGUAUGUAGAGAGUGACAGUGGGACAUGCAGAUCACUCCCCAACCCACCUCUCUUUCCCCUCCCAGAUGAUCCAG
rnacentral:lncRNA from 1 species